rnacentral:tRNA from 2 species
GGGCGUGUACCCAAGUGGCCAAAGGGGGCAGACUGUAAAUCUGCUGGCGUACGCCUUCAGAGGUUCGAAUCCUCUCACGCCCA